rnacentral:lncRNA from 1 species
GGGAAGAGGCGCCCAGGCUGAAGGCUCGGGUUGCGAACUUGUGUCUGAACACCGGACUCCCCAGUCAGGUGUCACUAGGGUCCGGAGAGAGAGGAAGAGCUCGGAUUACUGCUUCGGGAAGUUUUUACAAGCUAUUUACCCACCCCCGCGCGCCCUGUGUCCUGGAGCCAAGAAUUUCAGAAAUCCGAGGCACAAAAACGCCAGUGUUUGCGGUCAAGGAUUAAAGAAACAAGAGGUAAAAGAAACGCUACCCUGACGAGUGAGCAAAUAAAGGAACCAUGUUGUGACUUGCUGAUGUUGUGAUCGCGAAGCAGGAAAGAAAUACAAACCGCGACCUCGGUCCUGACCCCGCUUCUAAGACCCCUAUGCUCCUGGAAUCUGUAAACGCUAAAGUAAAUAAACCGCAAACCAAAAAAA